rnacentral:rRNA from 1 species
CCUACUGGAGGCUGCAGUUAGGAAUAUUGGUCAAUGGUCGGGAGACUGAACCAGCCAAGCCGCGUGAGGGAUGAAGGUACAGAGUAUCGUAAACCUCUUUUGUCAGGGAACAAAGGCGGGGAAGAGGCCCCGGAUGAGUGGACCUGAAGAAAAAGCAUCGGCUAACUCCGUGCCAGCAGCCGCGGUAAUACGGAGGCUGCGAGCGUUAUCCGGUUUUAUUGGGAGAAAAGGGUGCGCAGGCGGUCUGUUAAGUCAGCGGUAAAAGCCCGGGGCGAAACCCCGGCCGGACGUUGAAACUGGCAGUCUCGAGUUGGAGAGAAGUAUGCGGAAUGCGCGGUGUAGCGGUGAAAUGCAUAGAUAUCGCGCAGAACUCCGAUUGCGAAGGCAGCAUGCCGGCUCCACACUGACGCUGAGGCACGAAAGCGUGGGUAUCGAACAGGAUUAGAUACCCUUGUAGUC